AUGAAAAUCUAGUGUAAAUAUUCAUUGUGGAAUAUUAGCAUUCAUGAACAUACUUCUGUGGUGCUAAUUUUUGUUAUCAUCUUGGGUUACGGCCUUCUCUGUGUUGAUGGCAUUUAUUUGUAAGAGGCAUUUACGGUGUCUAGGCUGUCUUGUAUGAUGGUUUUCACCCGACAUUACCUGUAGUGGGGAUUCUGUUUUCUUGGUCCACUUCAACCGUCAUGGAUCUACAUAAUUUGUGAGAUUUUUUUUUCAAAUUUUUUGGAGAGAAAG
rnacentral:misc_RNA from 1 species